UCGGGGCUGUCGAGGUUGCUCCUCACGCCUUUUGCACUGGACAUGGGAGUGUCAGCUGUCACUGCCCAUGCCGCUGCAGCGUGUCGCGUGAUCAGCAUGGCUGAGGGUUAGGGUUGUGUGCUGGUCAUUAAUCACAUGCUGUGUAUGAACUCUUGACAACGUGUUUUGAAAUAAUAGAGAGAGCAAAAGCCUUUUGACUGCGGCGAGAAAAGUAUGGGCGCCUGAUCUGAGAGAGUAGCUGUACAAUUCGGUCUCGUCGAGAUAUCCGUGAACGCGACCAAGUUUUGGUUGCUAUAGAGAAUCUUACUCAGAAAGCGGCGAAGACUCUGGUGAAUACGAAAGCGCUGCGAUUAUGGCAAGGGUAAUGAUUUCAGUUGGUUCUGGAGACGACGAGGGGUUGGCAUUGAUAUAUAGUUGCAGACAGUUUGGAUCCAUGAGACCUUUCAUUGUGCGUUGAGGUCCAGGGGCUCUACGGUGAGGGGAACGUAAGCUUCAUUCAAGUAUUGCGAGGAGGUGCUCUGUCAGAGUCGUUUUCGGAGUGACGGUGAUGGAGUCGGUUGCCUUGGUUGAUGGUGGGAAGUUCCCGCUGCCUUCGUGCGUGGAUUACAACGAGGGUCAGCAUUUUGUGGUGCUUGACGAAAAUGGACGACCUCAACAUGUUUCUUUGCCACAAGAAUACGCAGACUCCAUCAAAAGUACGGAACUAUGCUUUAAAGAUCACAGGACACAGGAUGCCUCAGCUGGCGUGUGCUAUCUUCAGGAAGCAGGGUAUUUCCACCCACACGUGCACCGUGGCGAGGACAUUCAGGACAUUCCAUUGGAACAGUGUAUCGACGAGCAUUGCAUGGAAAAGUCGGGUUGUGCAUUACCUGUACUUCGCGAGCUGUCAGACCUAUGUCAGACAGUACUACCAGUGGUCGACAUAGACCAUGAGCAUAAAGAGGGCUGUGGACACUCUCAGAUACGUCACGGAGACCAUUUUGAUUGGCUUGUACCUCUUAACGACGGUUCUUUUUCUCUGAGUCACCCUCAAGUUCAAAAUGGACAUGAGCGCGGUUUUAUUGAACACGGUCGAUUAAUCAACAGAGGUAAAACUGUAGCGAAGUUGAAACUGCGGCCGACUCUUGUGGACCUCUUCAGCUACGAAAGUCCCAAGCAGACAGGUUACGAGAGCCUUCCACAAUGUGCUGAAGAUGUACAAGCCCAUGAGAGGGAUGGUUUUGCAAUUGCGAAAGGACAGUUGGACGAAAAAUGUACACUCAUGCCUUUCGCUAGUGUAGGGCGAAACCUAGUUCAAGAAGGCAUGACGAAGGUGGACAUUCCUGUUAAUUUUGGUGGUGCGUUAUGUAAAACGAAGCUCGAUGUCAUGGGAAUCUGCUGUCCAAGUGAAGUUCCAUUGAUCAAGAAAUUGUUAGCCCCACUAACUGGUGUUGAGGACGUUUCUGUAAACGUCACAGCCAAGACUGUGCUUGUUCUGCAUGAUCCAUUGUUAAUCUCGGACGUUCAGCUUGUGAAGGUUCUGAACGGAGCACAUUUGGAUGCCAGUAUACAUCAGCGUGGUGAAUUGAAAGGUGGUCGCAACUGGCCAAGUCCAUGGUGCCUAGGUUCUGGUAUCUUAUUAGCGAUUGCAUUCUUCAAGUACUUAUACGAACCGAUGCAUUGGGUUGCUCUUGGGGCUGUUGCUGUGGGAGUGCCACCGAUAGUUGUGAAGGCAAUUGCCGCACUAAGGAAGUUUUUUCUCGACAUCAACAUUCUCAUGCUUAUUGCAGUAAGUGGGGCUAUUGCAUUACAAGAUUAUUUGGAGGCUGGCACCAUCGUCUUUCUGUUCACGCUCGCAGAGUGGUUAGAAACAAGAUCUACAUCUAAGGCUCGUUCGGCAAUAGCUUCUGUAGUUGAUCGUGCACCACAGAAUGCCAUGCUGGUAGAUGGAGGGAUGCGAGUGCGUGUGGAGGAGGUGGCAGUUGGAACCUUACUUUCUGUAAAGACCGGAGAGGCGAUCCCAAUUGAUGGAGAAGUCCUAUCAGGUCGAGGCUUAGUGGAUGAAAGUAGCUUGACUGGUGAAUCAGUACCGGUGGAGAAAGAGACGGAAGCCUUUGUAUGGGCUGGAACAACGAUCUUGUCAGGAUAUCUGACAAUCAAAACCACAGCUCUGUCAGCUGACUCUGCCGUGGCAAGAAUGGUGAAGCUUGUGGAAGAGGCACAACAUCAGCGCUCCAAUACUGAAUUGCUGGUGGAGAAAAUAGCGAAGUACUAUACCCCCGGUGUUGUCAUAGCGGCUCUUGUAAUCGGAAUCGCUCCCUGGGCGAGUGGAGUUCACAAUCCUACUCAUUAUGUGUAUCUCGCACUGGUUCUUCUUGUGGUGGCAUGCCCUUGUGCCUUGGUCAUAUCAACCCCUGUGGUUAUCACAUGUGGAAUUGCCCAGGCUGCGCGUUUAGGGUUGUUGGUGAAAGGUGGUACAUAUUUGGAGGUACUUGGCAGGUUGAAAGUUAUGGCCUUCGAUAAAACUGGAACUUUAUCUGAAGGCCAGUUUUGUGUAUACAGUAUGCUCCCUAUUGAUGGUAUCUCCACUCUGAAAGAGGUUUUGUACUGGACAACGAGUGUAGAAAAUAAAGCAAGUCAUCCAUUGGCAGCAGCAAUUGUUACCUACGCACGCCUCAAGGGGGUAGAACCGUCAGAAAAUGUCGCUAACUUUGAGGUGAUUGCGGGAGAGGGAGUUUCCGCAGAAGUUGAUGGGCAUACCAUUCACAUAGGAAAUGCGCGAAUGGCAGCUCGAUUUGGGUGGGAUACAGCUGCUGCUGUCGAAACACUAGCGAAUUGGAGCAGUUCUGGAGCAACAGUUGGUUGGGUAGGUCUCGACGGAAUUGCAAUCGGAAUUUUCAGUGUCGGAGACAAACUACGAUCAGAAGCUGCCGAAGCGGUCAGAGAACUGAAGAAACUUGGUAUUCGGGUUGCAAUGCUUACUGGUGACAGCAAUGCAGCUGCUGUUAAAGUACAAAAUAAGAUUGGUGAAAUGGACGUAUACGCAGAAUUGAUACCUGAGGACAAGGUUCGGAUAAUUAAAGAAUUAAAACAUCAUGGUACUAUAGCAAUGGUGGGGGAUGGCAUCAAUGAUGCACCUGCAUUGGCAACCGCUGAUGUGGGAAUUGCAAUGGGUGUAGCUGGCUCGGCUGUUGCGAUGGAAACUGCUGACGUAGCUUUGAUGACAAAUGAUCUUCGAAAGCUGGCAGCUGCAGUGCGGCUGGGACUGGACUGUCGAUGGAAGAUUGCGCAAAACAUCACCUUCAGUUUCGCGACUAAAUUGCUUAUUAUCGGUCUGGUGGCGGGAGGAUAUGCUUCUUUGUGGGGUGGGGUAGUGGCAGAUGUAGGAACUUGUCUGGCAGUCAUCUUCAACAGCAGACGUAUCUUGAAGAAAGUCGAGCACCAGGCUCAAGAUAAUUGUAUUUCAGAAAAUUUAGCGUUUGACAAGGAAACCAAAAGCUAUCACAGUGGUUGCUGUGUAAAAGGGGAAGGAAAUAUGGAAGAAAAGGCCUUUACAAGUACAAACAUAAAGGCCCCUGUUAUUUCACACAAGCCCAAAGUAAGGUUCUCCUGGUUGCACAAACACAAUCAACAACAAAAUCACCACCACCACCACCUCCAUCAUCAACACCAUGAAAAGAAGGAGAAAUGUGAGGAAGACGAUUUUUGUUGUGCAGAUAAGGAAUACCGACCUCCAUGUUGCUCUAGUGCCAGAUGUGAGAAGAUUGUUCUUACUUCUAGAGGGAAAGGGCACAAGCAUGGAAACAAUGUUGGAGGGUUUGACAGGACAAAGGGUGAAAGAAUAAGUGCGGGUUUCUGCGAGAGCCAUAGUUGUAGUAAUGUCCCGUUAGAUCCGACGGUUCAGGUUAUGCAUAAAGAUUGCGAUCCUAUCAAAAAGUGUUUGCCAGAAGAGAUAGAAGUCCAGAACAUUGAAUUUAUUCGGAUGCCACGAACUUCAGAGAAAGAUGCUGGGUGCUGUUCUAGUGACACUUGCAACAGCCGAAGCACACUAUUUCAAGGUGCUCUUCUUGAGGCAGAUUUCUGUGAAGAAAAUUGUGAGGGGAGGCUCUUAACUAAAUCUCAGCGAAGGGAUAAUAUGGGCCAUUCCGGCGUCGUCAACAAGGAGCAAGUUUCAGAAUAUUGCUCAAUUAGGAGCUGUAAACAUUCUUCAUCCACAAAGACUCCAUCUACAUUAGAAGUCAGGGAGGAUUCAAAUCAACGCAGUAGCCCCAGUUCUAUUACGACAUACUCUAUAUGUUGCUCAAGUGAUAGCUGCAAGGUUUCUUCAAACAGGAAUGUGAUGUCACUUAUUACAGAAGUAAGCAAGGAUUCGAAUUCAGGUGGUUCUACAAAUGAAGCUGUGAAGCUGGCAGUUGGAUACUGUGGGAAUAGUAACGGCAACUCAUCUAAUUGUGAUGGAGAAGCGUCACCUGCAAACUUGGCUGUAGUGGGGUUAUCUGCAGCUAACGAACAGACAUCAAAGCCCGUGACAGGCUCACCGGACUCGUGCUGUGCCGAUCUAUCAACUAAAAUUGUGUGCCAAUAAAUCCUUCUGUCUUGUAUUAUUAAAUUCUGAAUUGUGGUAUACUGGGUAAGUUAUCACUCUGCUGUAAGUACGCAUCAAUCAUGGGUCUCACUCAUAUCGAAACAGUACUCCCAGACUGAAUUCCAUUCAAACCUUGAACUAAAUUAUCCUCUCCACCUUGACUAUUCUGUAACAUAACGAGAGAUGGAAUUUCACACUACGAAGGCUGUUUUUUGUAUUGUUUUAUUGCAAAUGAGCUUGCCUGGGAGGCAACAUGUGAACCUGUAUGGAAGGAAUCUCAUUCCCAAAAGGCCACUGUGGUAGAUUAUUCGUGGUGGUGAGGAAAGCUAACGCCGCGCCCAGCGUGGAUGCAAGAUGACGGCGCCACCAGCUAGCGAUGAGGGCACCACAAUCUAGAAUUGCUCAAUCGGCCACCGAAGAGGAACUGAUCGUUGCAAAUCUUCUUCACCUUCUUCGGGUGGAAAGCGUCCCAGAACACCAACUUAGUUCUGUCGGGGCUCGGGCGUGAGAUGGUGCGGCACGCCCUGUCGAUGCCGUUGUAUUUGCCCACGCCGAAGCAGGCCGUGGACACUGGAUCUGUGAAUCCUGCACACAGAAAGCGAAACGAUGAUGGAUGAUGGUUGGCUGUGUGGAAGUUCGUGGAGGAGAGUCUGAGAAUUGCAUUUCAGGGGGGAAACCAGUUUUUUUUUUUUUUUUUUUUUUUUUUUUGGAUUUACCGUGUUGCAAGGGGUUAUCGAUGAUGGCCUUGACGACGGCGUAGGCAUUAGUGUAGAGGAAGAUGGAGUUGGAAAGUUCGGCUCCCAGGCUCUCCAGCAUGGGCUUCAAGGCGGCAUUGAAUCCUAUGGCGUAAUUGUUCACCUCUUCGACGCAUUCCCCCUUCUGGCUCCUCUGCGACAGGACUGAAGGUGCACACCCAAUGGGACCGAUGUUGGAGAUGAUGGACUUCCGCAUCCCCAAAUCGUAGCCAGUCUGCAAUUGCGACCUUAAUCCAAUUAAAAAUUGUGUACUGCAAAUUAUUAAGUCAAGAAAUUCCCCAAUUCACGUUC